rnacentral:rRNA from 1 species
GGGCCCGCACAAGCAGCGGAGCAUGUGGUUUAAUUCGAAGCAACGCGAAGAACCUUACCAGGUCUUGACAUCGAGGCAAAGCCGUAGAGAUACGGUGUUCAGCAAUGAGGCCGAAGACAGGUGGUGCAUGGUUGUCGUCAGCUCGUGUCGUGAGAUGUUGGGUUAAGUCCCGCAACGAGCGCAACCCUUAUUGUCAGUUACUAACGGGUAAAGCUGAGGACUCUGACGAGACUGCCGGGGACAACUCGGAGGAAGGUGGGGACGACGUCAAAUCAUCAUGCCCCUUAUGACCUGGGCUACACACGUGCUACAAUGGUGGUUACAGAGAGGAGCGAGCCCGCGAGGGGGAGCGGAUCUCAAAAAAGCCAUCUCAGUUCGGAUUGUGGGCUGCAACCCGCCCACAUGAAGUUGGAGUUGCUAGUAAUCGCGGAUCAGCAUGCCGCGGUGAAUACGUUCCCGGGCCUU